rnacentral:rRNA from 1 species
UCACCUACGGGAGGCAGCAGUGAGGAAUAUUGGUCAAUGGGCGCGAGCCUGAACCAGCCAAGUCGCGUGAGGGAUGACGGCCCUACGGGUUGUAAACCUCUUUUGUCGGGGAGCAAAUUCCGUUACGUGUAACGGAGUCGAGAGUACCCGAAGAAAAAGCAUCGGCUAACUCCGUGCCAGCAGCCGCGGUAAUACGGAGGAUGCGAGCGUUAUCCGGAUUUAUUGGGUUUAAAGGGUGCGUAGGUUGUUUUUUAAGUCAGCGGUGAAAGUUUGUGGCUCAACCAUAAAAUUGCCGUUGAAACUGG